AGCAGCCGCGGUAAUUCCAGCUCCAAUAGCGUAUAUUAAAGUUGUUGCAGUUAAAAAGCUCGUAGUUGAAUUUUGGAUUCUUCCAAUUGGUCCAUCUUUUAGAUGAGUACUGGUUGUGUGGGGUCGUAUCCGCCUGGUGAUACGUAAUGUCCUUUAUUUGGAUGUUGCGGGUAGUCAGGACCUUUACCUUUGAAAAAAUUAAGAGUGUUUAAAGUACAGGCUUAUGCCGGAAUACAUUAGCAUGGAAUAAUAGAAUAGGACGAAGUUGUUUUAUUUUGUUGGUUUCUAGGACAACCGUAAUGAUUAAUAGGGAUAGUUGGGGGCGAUUAGUAUUCAAUUGUCAGAGGUGAAAUUCUUGGAUUUAUUGAAGACUAACUACUGCGAAAGCAUUUGCCAAGGAUGUUUUCAUUAAUCAAGAACGAAAGUUAGGGGAUCGAAGACGAUCAGAUACCGUCGUAGUCUUAACCAUAAACUAUGCCGACUAGGGAUCGGGCGAUGUUGUUUCCAUGACUCGCUCGGC
rnacentral:rRNA from 1 species